rnacentral:rRNA from 1 species
AGCGAACGCUGGCGGCAGGCCUAACACAUGCAAGUCGAACGAACCUUUCGGGGUUAGUGGCGGACGGGUGAGUAACACGUGGGAACGUGCCUUUAGGUUCGGAAUAAUUCAGGGAAACUUGUGCUAAUACCGAAUGUGCCCUUCGGGGGAAAGAUUUAUCGCCUUUAGAGCGGCCCGCGUCUGUUUAGCUAGUUGGUUGAGGUAAUGGCUCACCAAGGCGACGAUCAGUAGCUGGUCUGAGAGGAUGAUCAGCCACAUUGGGACUGAGACACGGCCCAAACUCCUACGGGAGGCGGCAGUGGGGAAUCUUGCGCAAUGGGCGAAAGCCUGACGCAGCCAUGCCGCGUGAAUGAUGAAGGUCUUAGGAUUGUAAAAUUCUUUCACCGGGGACGAUAAUGACGGUACCCGGAGAAGAAGCCCCGGCUAACUUCGAG